rnacentral:rRNA from 1 species
CCCAGACUCCUACGGGAGGCAGCAGUGGGGAAUAUUGCACAAUGGGGGAAACCCUGAUGCAGCAACGCCGCGUGGGUGAAGAAGUAUUUCGGUAUGUAAAGCCCUAUCAGCAGGGAAGAGAAUGACGGUACCUGGCUAAGGAGCCCCGGCUAACUACGUGCCAGCAGCCGCGGUAAUACGUAGGGGGCAAGCGUUAUCCGGAUUUACUGGGUGUAAAGGGAGCGUAGACGGUUGUGCAAGUCUGAAGUGAAAGCCCGCGGCUCAACUGCGGAACGGCUUUGGAAACUGUGUAACUGGAGUGCUGGAGAGGUAAGCGGAAUUCCUGGUGUAGCGGUGAAAUGCUUAGAUAUUGCGCAGAACUCCGAUUGCGAAGGCAGCAUACCGGCGGCGAUCUGACGCUGAGGCACGAAAGCGUGGGUAUCGAACAGGAUUAGAUACCCUAGGAC